AGUAAACUUCCAUGUUGUGAGAGGGUCUACGGAGAAGGCCCCAGGACCAUGAACUGCAGAAGGCCUCCAGGAUCUGAGAACAGUCCCUGGCUGACAGCCAACAAGAGGCCAAUACCUCAGCCCUAGAGGAGAUUAAUUCUGCUAACUACUGGACAUAAUACAUUUUCCAGACUUUCCUGAGUUGGAGUUGGCCAAUGGUACACUGGCAUAGUACGCUGCUCUACUUCCAUUUCCAGCUCUUAAAGUCUCCUUCAAGGUCCUGUGAACAGAAGGAAGAGGAUCUGAUGAAAAAUUCCAAGCCCCUGGAAAUAGAAAUUUCCUGGUCCCUAAACCACUGUGUGGAAUCAUGCCAAUCACAUGACCAUCUCACUGUGAUGUAAGCAAGAAAUAAACAUUGAUAGCAUUA